CCUACGGGGGGCUGCAGUGGGGAAUAUUGGACAAUGGGGGGAACCCUGAUCCAGCCAUGCCGCGUGUGUGAAGAAGGCCCUCGGGUGGUAAAGCACUUUCAGUGAGGAAGAACGCCUGGUGGUUAAUACCCAUCAGGAAAGACAUCACUCACAGAAGAAGCACCGGCUAACUCCGUGCCAGCAGCCGCGGUAAUACGGAGGGUGCGAGCGUUAAUCGGAAUUACUGGGCGUAAAGCGCGCGUAGGUGGCUUGAUAAGCCGGUUGUGAAAGCCCCGGGCUCAACCUGGGAACGGCAUCCGGAACUGUCAAGCUAGAGUGCAGGAGAGGAAGGUAGAAUUCCCGGUGUAGCGGUGAAAUGCGUAGAGAUCGGGAGGAAUACCAGUGGCGAAGGCGGCCUUCUGGACUGACACUGACACUGAGGUGCGAAAGCGUGGGUAGCAAACAGGAUUAGAUACCCUGGUAGUC
rnacentral:rRNA from 1 species